ACCCCUCGGUUGUUUACAAUCCGUGUUGUCAUAGACAUGGAAGCCAGCUAACCAGCUAGCCAGCUAACCGCAGCUAAACAAAACGUGGUUUGAGUCAAUUUCUACCAAAAUUGAAGAUGAUGAACAUCAGCAACCGAGCAUUGGAUAGACUCUACUCUGUUCUCCUCCUGGCCGUAGUGGUACUAUCGUGGACCUACGUCAUCUAUGGGAGUAGAAUAGCAGCACUGAGACAGUUGGAGAAGAGACUCAACAUCAAACUACCCAACUAAAGCACCAGCGGCUGGCUCAACUCCAAUACACUGAAGUCUUCAGUUAUGAAUACCGUGGACAUUCCCAAGACUAAGUCAAGGACCCUGGACCAGUCUCCAUCCCUACUAUGAUGAAGUCUGUCUUUACUGACCAGCUGCUCUUUCAGACUCAUUUAUACACCACCAUGCUGAAUGCUUUUUGUUUUACCAUGUUAGUUUGUCUUAGAUGUGAGUCAUAUUUUUCAUAUUGUGCAAAAUGAUUUUUAUUAAAAAAAAUGGAAAAAACUAA